ACCGAAGCCUGUAACCGCCUCCGGGCGUGACGGGUGGCUGGUAUCCUCCUUCUGAGGGGUGUAUGGCGCAGCGUGGGCCGGCCUUUCGGGUCGCGAAUCCCCAGUGCUGCGGCGGACCACCCCUUGGGCAACUCAGUGGGGGCAAUUGGAUGGCCCGUAGGGACCUCUGGCGGCUUCGGCCCCGGGGGUGUCUUGGGCCGGGCGCUGGGCUUCGGUCCACGCCCCGACCUGUUAACUAACCCUGACCACCUCUUCAUUGAGGGUUUCCGGUGGCCCUCCGUCCUUCGGGGCGGGGAGCCUCCCGGUAAAGAUAGUUACCUGGUUGAUUCUGCCAGUAGUCAUAUGCUUGUCUCAA
rnacentral:misc_RNA from 1 species